GCAAGGUGUUUGGUGGAUUCCGAAUUUGUGCAUAUAAAAAACAGAUACCGGAACCACGACUGUGAGACUCUCGAACAACUAACGGCGCUUGUUGACCAGUCGUCUGUUACCAACACGGCAGUCUCGUACCCGACCUGGACAUGGCGGCAAUGGAAGCCUUUCCUGGAAUUGUACUUCAAACCUGUUACAGGAAUAAUGCAGUACCAGUACUUCAGAUUUGACCAAAGAAAGCCUGGUAUUGUGACUGCAAAAAUCCAACACGACGGAGAAGAGAAGGAAUUGCAGAUCCUGAAAACCCGGACAUUUCGGUUCCAGAAUGUGGAGCGUCCACACCAAGUUCCCUCUGCUGGAUUGAGUGCAGACCGCCGGCAAUACUUGCGCCGAUCCGUAAGCCGAUAUGUCCGACCAGCGUCGAAGGAAUAUUUCUUUGGAAAUUGACUCUUGUGACGACGUGCAUAUUGUUAAUGUAUUCAAUAAACAUCACUCAACUGUACGUGCCAGAAACAUAUAUGACUUACUGUCCUGAAUAGUGUGUACUAUUAUGAUACCAAUGCCAUUUCAUUGUUUUCAAUUAUCUCUGUAUCUGAUACUUUGCGCAUCAACACAUUCAUAAACUAUA